ACAAGUCUUACUAGUAUAGAUUAACACUCAAAGUUGAUUUCUAUAUAGUAAAUAAGAAAUGUAAGUAGAGAAUACAACGAUACUACCUAUUCCAGAAUGGUCUUAACUAAGAUUUAAAUAAAAAAAAAGGUACCUCAUCGUCAGCUUCCUUCUCGCUAAACAUUGCACAAGCUCUAGAGUAUGAUGAAGAAAUAAAUUUUUUUACACAAAAUAGAAAAAAAUUAACAAUAAAAGAAACCUUGCAUGAGUUUGUGGCUUGUGAAGAGUAGGGUUUGCAUUUAUAUACUGUCAUACUAAUACUAUUAUUAUGGGGUAAUGGUAAGUGGGUUGGCCGGCUGAGUCAUGUAGAUGUAAUGGAGGGGGGGGGGAGAUUUUGUUUUGGGCUAGAUAGAAAAGUAGUGUAAAUCCCAAUAAUCAAUUCAAUUUUUUUUAGCGGGUAAUCAGUUCGGUUUCGGUUCGAUGGAGUAAAUACCAUACCCACACCAUCAUGAACCGGUUCAUUAAUAUAAAAAUCAUAUCCGCCUCAUUGCACCAUCGAUUCGGUUUUUUUCGCCCCAUUCGGUUCGAUUAAUCGCAAUUUUCGAUUUUAACAGUUCAAAUUGCCAUCUCUAAAAAAUGACAAGGGACGAGACAAGUCUAGUGGUAGAUGGUAUUACAGUUGUAAUAAAUCUGAAAACUUUAUUAAGGACUGUUCCAAGAAGAAAGAUAAACUGAAGAGUAAGAUGAGAGAUGAGCCGAAUUUGGCUAUAGGGUCAAGUGAUGACCUUAGCGAGAUUUAUUACACUACUAGAAAGUGAGGCAAUAGAGACGGAAAUUUGGCAACAAACGUCUUCAGUUGCUAAUACCAAC
rnacentral:lncRNA from 1 species